AACGUAGGGUGCAAGCGUUGUCCGGAAUUACUGGGUGUAAAGGGAGCGCAGGCGGACUGUCAAGUUGGGAGUGAAAACUACGGGCUCAACCCGUAACUUGCUUUCAAAACUGGCGGUCUUGAGUGGUGUAGAGGUAGGCGGAAUUCCCGGUGUAGCGGUGGAAUGCGUAGAUAUCGGGAGGAACACCAGUGGCGAAGGCGGCCUACUGGGCACUAACUGACGCUGAAGCACGAAAGCGUGGGUAUCGAACAGG
rnacentral:rRNA from 1 species